GGUCAGAGGGUGAUACCCUUCCAGCCUUGUAGGUCCUAUAUCCCAGAGGCCUUGAAGCCCUUUCUGUGAAUUUCCUCAGCUUGACAGCUACAAGAGGUGGAGUUGGGCAGAAAUGAAGCCCCAAGUGCGGGAGUGCUGUGGGACCACUGAGCGAGGUUGGUGAUGUUUUCAUAAUGGGUUCUGUAACAAAUCUCUCUACCGUGCCCCUUCUCAAGAGGAAGUUGCUUGUGGUGGGUAGUCCUUGUCUCUCCCUGGAUGCCAGAUGCUCUGCUGAGCCCAAGAUCCACCUCCAGCUCUGCCAGGACCUCUGUGUGACCUCUGGCACAUCACAUCCUCUCUCUGGAAUUCAGUGUCUUCGAAGGUUAGUUUUUUCUGCGAUGGCUGGAUUUGCCUUUCAGAAUAAUAAUCAUUAUUUAUGGAGUGUCAAGCACAUUGAACGAAGAACCCAAUGGUGCCAAAUCUCUCCACCAGCUUUAAGCCAUGAGGCACCUGGGAAUCUUAGCUCCUGACCAGGGAUGGAACCCAAACCCCCUCACUGGAAGAUGAAGUCUUAACCACUGGACAGCCAGGGAAGCCCCUGUUUCCUCUUUCUAAUUGCCCUCUUUCUGAGCCAAUACUGGAGAAGAGAGUCCUUGGCGCUUGGCCCUCGACCUGCCAUUAUGGAUAAUAGAGCCCUUGAUCUGGACGAGGCUCACAGCUCUCGACACAGGCAAGAGAUACAAUAUUGAAGCUACUUUCAGCCUUUUCUCUUUCCAUGGCAGACAUGUGAUGGCUGCAAAAGACAAGGAAGGUGCGGCCGCCAGGUGCAGAGGCAGGGAGGAGGCCAGGAGGGCAGGGCGAGGCCUGGUGGUGAUUAAGACAUUCUCAAUCAGGAGAGUGAAGCAGAAACGUCAGAGCAGCUCCCAUCUGAAUGGUCUGAAAGGCCACAGCAGCAGCUGACAGGGACUGGUUUGGUGGCAGAGGGAGGUUAGUGGGCCACAGAUCAAUUCCCAGCCGUCCAGGGUGGCAUCUCAGGAUGGCCUUCACCAGGGGAGGGGAGCAACUCUGAACCUCAGCAGGGUGGGAGAGCCAACAGCCCGGGUGCUCUUAACACACUCAGUAGUCCUCCAACUUGAGAGCACUUCAGAAUCACCCGCAGAUCUUGUUUAAAACUCAGAUUCCUGGGCCAUCAGGUGGUUUUGCCCUGCCAACUGUCGUGACCCAAAGCCCUGGAGUUCCUGUGGAUGGAAGCUGGACUCUCCCUUCUGCUCUGUUUACAUCCUAGAAAAGGGCACUGAGCCCACCUUUGGGGGCCCUAACAGGCAUGCCCGCCAGGGCCAGAUUGGUCCCUAACUAACGCUGGGUAGUGGACCCCUCUGCAGGGCAUGUGGGUUGCAGUCAAGCUCCACCCACAGAAGCUCCGUUCUUGCACUGAAAUGGUUGGCCAGGGACUUCCCUGGUGGUCCAGUGGCUAAGAUUCUGUGCUCCCAAUGCAGAGGGCACAGGUUCGAUCCCUGGUCGGGGAACUAGGAUCCCGAAUGCCACAGGGUAGGACCUGAAA
ensembl:lncRNA